CAUGUCUUUUUGAUAAUAAUUUAAAGUCUAAUCUGCUCAGUGAAAAUUUAAAUAGCCGCGGUAUCUUGACCGUGCAAAGGUAGCAUAAUAAUUAGUUUUUUAAUUGAAAGCUGGAAUGAAUGAUUGGACGAGAUAAUUUCUGUCUCUUUUGGAUUAUGGUUGAAAUUAAUUUUUAAGUAAAAAAGCUUAAAUUUGGCUUAAAGACGAGAAGACCCUAUAGAGUUUAAUAUAAUUUUUAUUAAGGAUUAAUUUAUGGAAUUGAAGUUUUUUAAUUUUAUUUAUAUUUGGUUGGGGUGACUAAUUAAUUUGAUAAAUUUUUUUAUUUUUGAAUCAAUGAUUUUUGAAUUUUUAAUCUGAAUUUUUUAAUUUUAAAAUAAAUUACCUUAGGGAUAACAGCGUAAUUUUCUUUUGGAGUUCUUAUUAAUUGGAAAGUUUGCGACCUCGAUGUUGGAUUAAAAUUAAUUUUUGGUGUAGAAGCUUGAAAUAUUUGGUCUGUUCGACCAUUAAAAUUUUACAUGAUCUGAGU
rnacentral:rRNA from 1 species